UUGGGGUAGCCCCCAAAAUAUUGGGACAUAUAAAGACAACUCUGUUCCGCAGAGUAGCUGUUGACAUUAUAGUUGCGCAGGAACUUUGUUGACUCUAGAGAACCUCGGGCAAAUCGCACAUCCCCGUGGCGGCGACUUUGCAUGCGGAUGUCAUCCAUAUCAACUUUCGGUGACCACGGGUAACGGGGAAUCAGGGUUCCAUUCCGUUCCUUGGACCUUGAUAAACGGCUACCAUAUGCAAGGAAGGCAGCAGGCGCGCAAAUGACCCACUCCCGACGCGGGAAGGUAGUGACGA